ACAAGUAGUGGAGCAUGUGGUUUAAUUCGAAGAUACGCGCAGAACCUUACCAACACUUGACAUGUUCGUCGCGACUCUAAGAGAUUAGAGUUUUCGGUUCGGCCGGACGAAACACAGGUGCUGCAUGGCUGUCGUCAGCUCGUGUCGUGAGAUGUUGGGUUAAGUCCCGCAACGAGCGCAACCCUUACUUUUAGUUGCUACCAUUUAGUUGGGCACUCUAAAAGAACUGCCAGUGAUAAGCUGGAGGAAGGUGGGGAUGACGUCAAGUCCUCAUGGCCCUUAUGUGUUGGGCUACACACGUGCUACAAUGGUAUUUACAGUGGGAUGCAAAGAGGCAACUCCAAGCCAACCCUUAAAAAAUACCUCAGUUCGGAUUGUACUCUGCAACUCGAGUACAUGAAGCUGGAAUUACUAGUAAUCGCAGAUCAGCGCGCUGCGGUGAAUACGUUCCCGGGUCUUGUACACACCGCCCGUCACACCAUGGAAGUUGGUUACACCUUAAGGCAAAGUGUAAAACCUUUGACUACGGUACGAUCAGCGACUGGGGUGAAGUCGUAACAAGGUAACC
rnacentral:rRNA from 1 species